GCGCAGAGCGAAGUUUUGAGUGGGCAUUAGCUUCUCAAUGCUUUCCUAUGGCAAUACAUUGGAUUGGCUGAGAUUGUAAGAAUUGAUUAUCUCAUCCAAAGAGGCAGAGCGCAUGCAGGGCAGGCAACGAGGAGAUCCGUGCGUUUAAUACCUUUUUCAUGGGGUUAGUUUAAUACCUUUUUUACGGGGAUGGAGCCUAAAUACUGUGUUUUACACCUAUAGUGUCAGGAAUACAUAUAUUUGUAUUCCUGACACUAUAGUGUUCCUAUAAGUGCAAGAC